GGAAUUGUUGUCAAGGUUUUGAAUUUUGAAUAUUUAGCCAGUUUUGGUGGGAAAAGAGGAUAUUUGUGCGGAAGAAUAACAUGGGUAAAAGGGCUUGAAAGACGUCUCACAUUGAACCGGAAGUACAGAAUUGACCCCAGUCUACUUUAACUUUUCCUAAUUUGAGAUUUCCAUGAAGAACCUCAUACAUGCUUCGGAGGAGAUGACUGCCAGGUGCUAUACUUUAUGCCUUGUGAAGGAAUUAGCUCAACGAAUAUUGUGGAAAGAGUUACAGAUUGUGACAUGAGCUUGAAAUAACAUUGAAGUCAAUGGGGCAAUAGUUGGUGAUCUGUGGCCUGUCUAUAGUGAAUGGAACAAAUUUUACAUUUUUUGCUGUGAUCACAGUUUUGAAGAUUUUUACUUGAAAUUUUCAGAGCAGACGUCAAAAUCUGAGUUCACAGUUCAAGACUGCGUGUAUGAAUGAUCCUGCAGGGCUUCCUCUUGUGUUUCCGUCAUCAUGCCAUCUGAACAGUUAUAUUGUUAGAAGCCAGGAAUAUGGAACGUAGCCACCACGAAUUGUGAAAACCACCCCCACAGACUACUGAACAGUUACGGCAUUUCGAACAGUCACCAUCGUAGCACUUGACAGUUGCCUCUAGGAUUUUAGGCUUGGAUCUCAAUUCUCUCCUGCUGCCAGAGCCCAUGUCAUCAUAAAAAGGAAGAAGAAAGUGUCUCAGAAGUAUUUCCAGGGUCAGCUGUGGAUGUAGAUGG